rnacentral:rRNA from 1 species
UGCUCCAUGAUUCAGCGGCGGACGGGUGAGUAAUGCCUAGGGAUCUGCCCAUUAGUGGGGGACAACGUUUCGAAAGGAACGCUAAUACCGCAUACGUCCUACGGGAGAAAGCAGGGGACCUUCGGGCCUUGCGCUAUCAGAUGAGCCUAGGUCGGAUUAGCUAGUUGGUGAGGUAAUGGCUCACCAAGGCGACGAUCCGUAACUGGUCUGAGAGGAUGAUCAGUCACACUGGAACUGAGACACGGUCCAGACUCCUACGGGAGGCAGCAGUGGGGAAUAUUGGACAAUGGGCGAAAGCCUGAUCCAGCCAUGCCGCGUGUGUGAAGAAGGUCUUCGGAUUGUAAAGCACUUUAAGUUGGGAGGAAGGGCAUUAACCUAAUACGUUAGUGUUUUGACGUUACCGACAGAAUAAGCACCGGCUAACUUCGUGCCAGCAGCCGCGGUAAUACGAAGGGUGCAAGCGUUAAUCGGAAUUACUGGGCGUAAAGCGCGCGUAGGUGGUUUGUUAAGUUGGAUGUGAAAGCCCCGGGCUCAACCUGGGAACUGCAUCCAAAACUGGCAAGCUAGAGUAUGGCAGAGGGUGGUGGAAUUUCCUGUGUA